CUCGCUGAAAGGCGAGCUAAUACCGGAUGUGACCGUUUGGAAGGCAUCUUCUGAACUUUAAAGCUGGGGACCGCAAGGCCUGGCACUUUUCGAUAAGCCCGCGGCCUAUCAGCUAGUUGGUGAGGUAACGGCUCACCAAGGCUAAGACGGGUAGCUGGUCUGAGAGGACGACCAGCCUCACUGGAACUGAGACACGGUCCAGACACCUACGGGUGGCAGCAGUCGAGAAUUUUUCACAAUGGGCGAAAGCCUGAUGGAGCGACGCCGCGUGGGGGAUGAAUGGCUUCGGCCCGUAAACCCCUGUCAUUUGCGAACAAACCUUUGUCAUUUAACAGACGACAAGCUGAUAGUAGCGAAAGAGGAAGGGACGGCUAACUCUGUGCCAGCAGCCGCGGUAAUACAGAGGUCCAAGCGUUGUUCGGAUUCACUGGCCGUAAAGGGUGCGUAGGUGGCGGGGUAAGUCUGAUGUGAAAAUCUCCGAGCUUAACUCGGAAACUGCAUCGGAUACUGCCUUGCUCGAGGGUUGGAGGGGGGGACUGGAANUACUU
rnacentral:rRNA from 1 species